rnacentral:rRNA from 1 species
GGUAGUCCACGCCCUAAACGAUGUACACUAGUUGUUGUGAGGCUAGACCUUGCAGUAAUGCAGUUAACACAUUAAGUGUACCGCCUGGGGAGUACGGUCGCAAGAUUAAAACUCAAAGGAAUAGACGGGGACCCGCACAAGCGGUGGAGCAUGUGGUUUAAUUCGAUGCAACGCGAAGAACCUUACCUGGACUUGACAUAGAAAGAAUAACGCAGAGAUGUGAUAGUGCUAGCUUGCUAGAACUUUCAUACAGGUGCUGCACGGCUGUCGUCAGCUCGUGUCGUGAGAUGUUGGGUUAAGUCCCGCAACGAGCGCAACCCUUAUCCUUAUUUGCCAGCACGUAAUGGUGGGAACUCUAAGGAGACUGCCGGUGAUAAACCGGAGGAAGGUGGGGACGACGUCAAGUCAUCAUGGCCCUUACGUCCAGGGCUACACACGUGCUACAAUGGGGCAUACAAAGAGCAGCGAUACCGCGAGGUGGAGCAAAUCUCAAAAAUGCCUCCCAGUUCGGAUAGUAGUCUGCAACUCGACUACUUGAAGUUGGAAUCGCUAGUAAUCGCGGAUCAGCACGCCGCGGUGAAUACGUUCCCGGGCCUUGUACACACCGCCCGUCACACCAUGGGAGUGGGCUGCACCAGAAGUCAUUAGCUUAACCUUCGGGAGGGCGAUGACCACGGUGUGGUUCAUGACUGGGGUGAAGUCGUAACAAGGUAACCCUAGGGGAACCUGGGGUUG